rnacentral:rRNA from 1 species
UGGCGGACGGGUGAGUAACGCGUGGGUAACCUACCUCAUACAGGGGGAUAACAGUUGGAAACGACCGCUAAUACCGCAUAACCCGCUAGUAUCGCAUGAUACAGACGGAAAAGAUUUAUCGGUAUGAGAUGGACCCGCGUCUGAUUAGCCAGUUGGCAGGGUAACGGCCUACCAAAGCAACGAUCAGUAGCCGGCCUGAGAGGGUGAACGGCCACAUUGGGACUGAGACACGGCCCAAACUCCUACGGGAGGCAGCAG